rnacentral:rRNA from 1 species
UACGGGGGGGGCAAGCGUUGUUCGGAAUUACUGGGCGUAAAGGGCUCGUAGGCGGCCAACUAAGUCAUACGUGAAAUCCCUCGGCUUAACCGGGGAACUGCGUCUGAUACUGCAUGGCUUGAGACCGGAAGAGGUAAGUGGAACUGCGAGUGUAGAGGUGAAAUUCGUAGAUAUUCGCAAGAACACCAGUGGCGAAGGCGGCUUACUGGUCCGGUUCUGACGCUGAGGCGCGAAAGCGUGGGGAGCAAACAGG